rnacentral:lncRNA from 10 species
CCGGGGACGGGCCCGCUGUGCCCGGGAGGGGUCAGGGCCCUAGAGGCGGCGGCAGCGCGUGGACCAGGCCCCGACUCAGGGUCCCGGGCAGGAGCGUGGACUUCGUGCAUUCGGAAGCCGCCGGUCGAGGCUCGGUGGCUGCUGCGGGGGCAGCGGGUGGGGAGGGCAGGACGCACCUCUGUCUACACCCGCUUCACCCGCUUAACGACACGAAUCAGCGUCCUCCGCGCAGGGACCCGGAGCUGGCUGGAGGCGUCCGCAGAAGACCCGCGCCGGGGCCGAGGGCCGCGUGGGGGCCGCAGACUUGCAGGGAGCGCAGCCCCAGGUGGGCAGGGCCGAGGCGGGGACCUGAAGCCGGGGAGGGAGGCCCAGGGCGGGCUCCGCGCGUCCAGCCGCGGGUGGGUGUCUGCGCCGCUGGGGGUUCCAGAGAAUUCUCAACCGUCCCCCUCUCUCCCCCCGGGACAGCGUCUCUAUUCCAACCUGGCACGGACGCCAGGAGCUCGCGCUACGAGUCAUUUUAAAAAGAAAACACAAUUUACGUGUGAAAGUCGAGACGAGAAAGCUCGCGGGUGCCCGUUAGGAUUUGUGGGGUGAGACGGGAGAAUUCACACCAGUCCCAGCUGCCCUCCAGGGAAACAGAACCCACGAACGUGUCACGUCUGCGUUUAUCGAUAACCGCGUGUGCGCGGAGGGGCUGUGCUCAGUGUCCCGCGUGAGGCUCCCGGGAGAGCUCCCUCCCCUUCCGCGUCUGGCUCUGGGAGGGCCCUGGGCGGCCAAUCAGGAUCCCCAUUGCCUUCGCCGAAGUGCUGUGUCCGGUGCAGGCCUGUGACCCACGUGGCCUCCAACAGGGUCCCUGUUUAUCGCGCUGUCGUGGUCGUGGGGUUUGAGGAAGAAAGCCCAGCGCUGGCGCCAUUUGGUCUCCCAUCCAAGUUCUAACCGGGUCCGACCCUGCUUAGCUUCCGAGAUCAGAUGAGCUCGUAGGCGUUCGGGGGGCAUGGCCGUAGACUUUGGCCACUUGGUACCACGGUGGGCUGAGGGGCUGCGGGUGGGAAGGCGAUUUGAGGAGCACAUUUGCAGGCAGCAGACUGUGGCUUCCAGAACCGACUGUGCCCGAGGAUAAGGCCUGAACUUCAACAACCUGCAAGUGGGUUGAGCAACCCGUUUCACCGUUGAGGAGACAGAGCGCUGGCCCAGCCUGGACCCGGAGCUGAGGUUCCUGUUUCCUGGCUCACCUGGAGGCUCCUGCAGUUGGCCAGAUGAGACCCUGACGUGGAAACAAAUCUCUCGGGCACAGGCACACUUCAGGGCUUUAAAGAGGUGCAUUCACCUGUUGAAGAUGGUGGUCCAGGCAGGAAAAGAGCAGGGGCUGCUGCUGACUUGUUCCCCAGGAGCACAGGAGAGGAGGCUUCGAGACCCACAUGUGUCCUGUGGCUGCUCCACCCACACCGGGGUCUGACCCCAGCGGAUCAGCAGAGAGAGCGGCCCAGAGCAGGAGGCCCAGCCCAGGGCAGCUGGGGUCUGCAGGGCUCCCCUCCAGAGGCCGCACCUCAGACCUUGGCAGCAGCCCCCAGCUCUGUGGAUCCUCCAGGAGAUUUUCCCAAGCUCCAGCCCCAACCCUUUAAUUCACACUGGGAAGAGCCUCAAAGAACCCGGCAGGGACGGAGCUCCCCCGACCCUCUGGGCAAAGAUCAACUUGGUUAAAAGGGCCUCCAGCUGAAACCCAUCUCCUGGGGAAAUGUAUUAAAACAGAAACUCUGCUAGGAAGAUUGUUUUGCUCAGACGUUCUUCUCCUCCUGGGUUUCUGCUUUUACAAUCUUGACCUGAACUAAAUUUAAUGCAGAAACCUUCACUGGUUGCUGGGAGAGCAGAGUGGAGGUUUAAGUGAGAAAACUAAUUUCAAAGAACUGUAGGGGAAGGAAAACUUUUCCUCUACUCUCUCACCUUCAGUGGCUGGGGGCCUGUGAGUUAAACGGAUGAAAGUUAUUAACAGGAAGAAAUUGGCUGGGUACCGUAGCUCAUACCUAUAAUCCCA